rnacentral:rRNA from 1 species
UACAGAGGGGGCAAGCGUUGUUCGGAAUUACUGGGCGUAAAGGGCGCGUAGGCGGUCGCCUAAGUCAGACGUGAAAUCCCUCGGCUCAACCGGGGAACUGCGUCUGAUACUGGGUGGCUUGAAUCCGGGAGAGGGAUGCGGAAUUCCAGGUGUAGCGGUGAAAUGCGUAGAUAUCUGGAGGAACACCGGUGGCGAAGGCGGCAUCCUGGACCGGCAUUGACGCUGAGGCGCGAAAGCCAGGGGAGCAAACCGG